rnacentral:tRNA from 1 species
GCCGGGAUGGCAGAGCGGUUAUUGCGCCAGUCUUGAAUGAGGGACUUCGUCGGCUCUCACUGCCGCGCUUCGGUGCGCGGCUUCGAGCCUCCUCGUGCCCCUCAACCCCUCGAAAGAAAACUGGUGCCCUCACGGGCUCGGGAGUUCGAAUCUCCCUCCCGGCG